rnacentral:rRNA from 1 species
UGGGGAAUAUUGGGCAAUGGGCGAAAGCCUGACCCAGCAACGCCGCGUGAAGGAAGAAGGUCUUUGGAUUGUAAACUUUUGUCCUAUGGGAAGAAGGAAGUGACGGUACCAUGGGAGGAAGCCCCGGCUAACUACGUGCCAGCAGCCGCGGUAAUACGUAGGGGGCGAGCGUUGUCCGGAAUUACUGGGCGUAAAGGGCGCGCAGGCGGCCGAUCAAGUUAGAUGUGAAUACCUGGGCUUAACCCUGGGAACUGCAUUUAAAACUGGUUGGCUAGGAGUGCAGGAGAGGGAAGCGGAAUUCCUAGUGUAGCGGUGAAAUGCGUAGAUAUUAGGAGGAACACCAGUGGCGAAGGCGGCUUUCUGGACUGUAACUGACGCUGAGGCGCGAAAGCGUGGGGAGCGAACAGGAUUAGAUACC